rnacentral:rRNA from 1 species
GAUGAACGCUAGCUACAGGCUUAACACAUGCAAGUCGAGGGGAAACGAUAGAGAAAGCUUGCUUUUUCUAGGCGUCGACCGGCGCACGGGUGAGUAACGCGUAUCCAACCUGCCCAUCACUUGGGGAUAACCUUGCGAAAGUAAGACUAAUACCCAAUGACGUCUCUAGAAGACAUCUGAAAGAGAUUAAAGAUUUAUCGGUGAUGGAUGGGGAUGCGUCUGAUUAGCUUGUUGGCGGGGUAACGGCCCACCAAGGCGACGAUCAGUAGGGGUUCUGAGAGGAAGGUCCCCCCACAUUGGAACUGAGACACGGUCCAAACUCCUACGGGAGGCAGCAGUGAGGAAUAUUGGUCAAUGGACGAGAGUCUGAACCAGCCAAGUAGCGUGCAGGAUGACGGCCCUAUGGGUUGUAAACUUCUUUUAUAAAGGAAUAAAGUCGGGUAUGCAUACCCGUUUGCAUGUACUUUAUGAAUAAGGAUCGGCUAACUCCGUG